GCGUCGGUAGUGCAAUGAUUCAGCACGCGCCCCUCGGAUAGAGUGAAUUUUGGGUUUGAAUCUCAGCUGAGGCA